AGCGAACGCUGGCGGCAGGCCUAACACAUGCAAGUCGAACGAACCUUUCGGGGUUAGUGGCGGACGGGUGAGUAACACGUGGGAACGUGCCUUUAGGUUCGGAAUAACUCAGGGAAACUUGUACUAAUACCGAAUGUGCCCUUCGGGGGAAAGAUUUAUCGCCUUUAGAGCGGCCCGCGUCUGAUUAGCUAGUUGGUUGAGGUAAUGGCUCACCAAGGCGACGAUCAGUAGCUGGUCUGAGAGGAUGAUCAGCCACAUUGGGACUGAGACACGGCCCAAACUCCUACGGGAGGCAGCAGUGGGGAAUCUUGCGCAAUGGGCGAAAGCCUGACGCAGCCAUGCCGCGUGAAUGAUGAAGGUCUUAGGAUUGUAAAAUUCUUUCAACGGGGACGAUAAUGACGGUACCCGGAGAAGAAGCCCCGGCUAACUUCGUG
rnacentral:rRNA from 1 species